CCAGUGUCCAGGGAAGUUCUGCUGACUGGAACUGAACCAUAGCAAAUGCAUCUCCACUUGCCAUGAUUCAGUAGCUUUGAGUGACAAAGUAACUAAUCUCAAGCCCUGGUGAUUGAGAAACCCAUGAAUUGCUUGCACUGAGCUACAGUUUCAUCCGGAAUUCCUGGCAAAGGUGUUAGAACGGCUCCAUGAUUGAAUCACCAGUGUUCUUUAGUAGAAAUAUGGCAGAGGAAAUCUGGAAAAUAGAAUAAAAUGAAUAGAUUCGUUAUCCUACCGCUGAAGCAAUCAAAACAGCAUAACUAGGGAGGAGGAAAUCUAGGGUUCACAAUUGUUUUUAGUUUUCUAAUUAAGGCAUCGUUCUAAUACAAAUAUAUGAUUUAAAAAUAAAAACAAUUUCCCUAGUUUUUAUCA